rnacentral:lncRNA from 1 species
UCAGCAGCAAUUCAUUCAAGGGUUCAUCCAACAAUCAACCUCAAAGAUCAAAAAUCAAGAAAAGAGGAAAGAAAAUGAGCGGUGGCUUCUAGUAUAGCACUGUUCCAGCAUGCAAGGUAAACUUUCAAUAAAAAUAAGAAAAAGGGUAUUAUCCAAAAACAAUUCAAGCGUAAACAACAGCUGCUUCCAGGCAAAGAUGAAUAUGCGCUUUUCUUUUUUUUUUAUAACCGUGAGAGCUGCAACCAAAAUCUCUAUCCCACAUCACCCUCCAUAUUCUCUCCAAGUGCUGAAAGUGUCUCUCCAACCUCGUAGUUCGGCUGACUCCCUAGUGAGCAAUGCAACAGUUGCAACUCCUAGGGUUGCGUGUCCCCCCAAAGCUAGGUCUGGACCGUGAGGAAUUGCUGGACGCACACUCCCUCGUUCCUGCAGCUGCGUAAGUGAAUUUAGUUGCUGGCCCGUGAUGCUCUUCAAAGGUGGGCUGCUGCGCUGGAUCAGACCGUGUAGUGUAGAGUUGCUGCAAUGUGGAAGCUGCUGAGCCCAAUUAUCGCAUGAAGAUGCAGGACCACUGGUUUCAAGCUGCUGGAGCGUGGAGUUCUUGUUGAUGCUGCUUUACUUCAAGCACCUCCCGGACACGUGAAGGCUACUGCACCUCAAAGCUGUUUGCAAUGUGCUGCCAAGCUGCUGUGUGCACCUCAUUAUGCUCUGGACCAGGCCUUGCUUGAAGCUCCCUCCUUUGCUGUCAGCGUGGUGCGUGAAGAAGGUAAGAUGCGUGGUACAGCAGUGUGCUUGGGCCGUGAAGAUUGAAGAUGUGUUGCUGGAUCGUGGAGCUGAUGCUUGGGCCGAGAGGUGGAUCAAUG